UUUUUUACAUUUUAAUAUUUUAUGAUGUAUUUAAAUGAGCAGUUAUUGUUGCAAACUCCGUUAGAAAUUUGAAUUGAGAUCAGUUUUGGAAUAAGGAAAAGGGGGAUGUGAAAACAAAAUUGGGGGGGGGGGGGGUCAAUUUUUCUCAUUUCAUAUUUCAUAAAUAAAAAGAAAAUUUCUUCAAACAUUUUUUUGAGAGGAUUAAUAUUCAACAGCAUAGCGAAUUUUUUUUUUUUAAGUUCAUUAGACCACAUUCAUUCUGUGUCACCAACCUAUGCUGUGUCAACUAUUUAAUUACAAUCCAAAUUUAGAGCUGAAUCCAGCUUGAAUGUUGUGUCCAUACUUUCCCCAACCAUUCAGGGUUCAACCUCUGCGGUCGUAUAAAGCUGCGCCCUGCGGAGCAUCUGGUUAUAUUUUAUGAUGUAUUU
rnacentral:lncRNA from 1 species